rnacentral:sRNA from 1 species
CCACAGCCUUGUGCCUCUCAGUGACCCUAGUGUCAUCCUUAUCUAUACUGUUCUUUCUUCCUUUGGAACACACUCCUUGGCUUCACAUUUUUGUUAUUACCUGCUGACAUCUUGUUUCCACCAGAUCCCUCUCCCUGUCCAUCUCAUCACUCUGAAGUUGGUGAACACAGAGCUGACAACAGAACCCCAGGCACAAAGAAUCAGGAUAAGAGGAACUCCUCCUCUUCACAUUCAGAAGCCCAAGAAGACACCUUUCUGCUGGCAUCCAUCAAGGUGGUGUCUUCAUUGUCCCAGUUCUACUUUACUCAGGCCCUCUGGAUCCUCCCACCCAUUCUCCUACAGGUUAAAAUUACCAUGAGGCCAGGCACGGUGGCUUAUGCUGUAAUCCCAGCACUUUGGGAGACCAAGGUGGGAGGAUUGCUGAAGGCCAGGAGUUUGAGCCCAACUUCAGGCAAGAAGAUUACUUGAAUCCAGGAGUUUGAGACCAGCCUGAAUAAUAUAGCAAGACCCUAUCUCUACAAAAAAAAUUAAAAUUAGCCAUGUGUGGUGGUGCAUGUCUGCAGUCUCAGCUACUUUGGAGGCUGAGGUGGGAAGAAUGCUUGAGCCCAGGAGUUGAGGCUGCAGUGAGCCAUAAUCACACUACCGCCUGGGUGACCAAGUGAGACCCCGUUUCAAAAAUAAAAAGGAAAACAAACAAAAUUACAAAGUGAAAUUUAGAAAAGAACCAAACUCUAAAAAUAUGUAUGUAUGUUUGUGCAGUUUCUUGUGUAUAUUUGUGUGGUAUCUCCUGUUUGUAUGUGUGGGUGCUGUCAGACUCUCAGGCUUGGGAGGCCCUCUGGAACCCAGCAGUUUCUCCAACCUUACAGGCUGGCACUCCUUAAACAUAGGUUCCAUUCUAAACUUUAAUUUACAUCCACAUAGUAGGCCACAUUACUCAAUAGCAGUUCCGAGACUUAGAAUAUUCUUCUCGAUGUUGAGAGGAAAUUCUUAUUCUAUAGAUCUCAUUUGGUAGAACGGGUUAUAAAAAAUAUAGGAUUUGGAUUUAGAUUAGCAUUGAAUUCCCAUUUUGCCUCUUAUUAACAAAUAGACCACUGACAUCUAAAUUUCAUUCUUUUCAAAUUAGGAAAUAUAUACAGGUAAUAACAUAUUUGAAAACUUCUACCUUACUCAAAUUUAAAAUGCAAAUGAACAUAUUUUAAUUUGUUACUAAACGAAUAUUGAAGAAUAGCGUUAACAAUCAAUAUCUGGCUGGGCGCGGUGGCUCAUGCCUGUAAUCCCAGCACUCUGGGAGGCCAAGGCGGGUGGAUCACGAGGUCAGGAGAUCGAGACCAUCCUGGCUAACACGGUGAAACCCAGCCUCUACUAAAAAUACAAAAAAUUAGCCGGGUGUGGUGGCGGGCACCUGUAGUCCCAGCUACUCGAGAGGCUGAGGCAGGAGAAUGGCGUGAACCCAGAAGGUGGAGCUUGCAGUGAGCCGAGAUCAUGCCACUGCACUCCAGCUUGGGUGACAGAGUGAGACUCCUUCUCAAAAAAAAAAAAAAAUUAAUAUCUGUGCUGUUAAGUAUGUGGUAAAAGAGGUUUUUCACAUACCAGAAUGAAAACAUAAUUUAAUUUGCCUUUUAUAAACAAAAUAUAUCAAAAGACUUGAAAAUAUUCAUGCUCUGUGUCUCAAAAUGCCACUUCUAAAAAACUGUCCUAAAUAAAUGAUAAAUUAAAAAUUUAGGAUGUAAGCUGCUUGUGGCAAAAUUUUUUUCCUGUUUGCUCACAGUUCUAAAUCCAUCUCCUAGGUCAGUGAUCAAUAAAUAUGUGUUGAACUAUUUAAUAAGUGAAUAUUAUAAUUUAAUUGUGUUAUUGUUCGUAAUUUUAAG